CCAGCUCUCCGAGUAGUGUGGAUGUUUAUUGGGCCUAAAGCAUCCGUAGCUUGCUGAGUCUGUCCUCCGUUAAAUCCAACGAUUUAAUCGUUGGGCUGCGGGGGAUACUGCUUAGCUAGGAGGCGGGAGAGGCCGACGGUAUUUCCGGGGUAGGGGUGAAAUCCUAUAAUCCCGGGAGGACCACCAGUGGCGAAGG
rnacentral:rRNA from 1 species